UAGCCGUAGACGAUACUCGCUAGGUGUCGGCCACGGUGCGACCGUUGUCGGUGCCGUAGGGAAGCCGUGAAGCGAGCCACCUGGGAAGUACGGCCGCAAGGCUGAAACUUAAAGGAAUUGGCGGGGGAGCACCACAACGGGUGGAGCUUGCGGUUUAAUUGGAUUCAACGCCGGAAAUCUUACCGGGACCGACAGCAACAUGAAGGCCAGGCUGAAGACUUUGCCGGAUUAGCUGAGAGGAGGUGCAUGGCGUAGUCGUGU
rnacentral:rRNA from 1 species